rnacentral:SRP_RNA from 1 species
GCUGCUGUUUUAGGUCCCAGCUACUCGGGAGGCUGAGGUGGGAGGAUCGCUUGAGCCCAGGAGUUCUGGGCUGUAGUGCGCUAUGCCGAUCGGGUGUCCGCACUAAGUUCGGCAUCAAUAUGGUGACCUCCCAGGAGUGGGGGACCACCAGGUUGCCUAAGGAGGGGUGAACCGGCCCAGGUCAGAAACGGAGCAGGUCAAAACUCCCCUGCUGAUCAGCAGUGGGAUCGCGCCUGUGAAUAGCCACUGCACUCCAGCCUCGGCAACAUAGCGAGACCCCAGU